UGCACAACGAAUUACCUAUUUGAAAAAUAGAAUAUGGUUAGAAAUUGCUGAUGUAAUAGAGGAUUCAAGUACCAUUUACAAACAAAAUAUUGAAGAGAAUGUGCUCAAAGGAAAUGCAUAUGAAUUCUUUUUUGUUGACCAGGAUGGAACAAUUCUUUGGAACCUAUAGUUAGAAUAAGUUAGUUAGGCCUAGUGAUGUACCAGCCAGAAGUAGAGGAUGACAAAGAAAAUCAACUAUGAAUAAUA
rnacentral:lncRNA from 1 species